rnacentral:rRNA from 1 species
AUUGAACGCUGGCGGCAGGCUUAACACAUGCAAGUCGAGCGAGCGGCGGACGGGUGAGUAAUGUCUGGGAAACUGCCUGAUGGAGGGGGAUAACUACUGGAAACGGUAGCUAAUACCGCAUACCAUCAGAUGUGCCCAGAUGGGAUUCGCUAGUAGGUGGGGUAAUGGCUCACCUAGGCGACGAUCCCUAGCUGGUCUGAGAGGAUGGCCAGCCAAACUGGAAAUGAGACACGGUACAGGCUCCUACGGGAGGCAGCAGUGGGGAAUAUGGCACAAUGGGCGCAAGCCUGAUGCGGGCAGGCGGGGUGUGUGAAGAAGGCUGUCGGGUUGUAAAGUACUUUCAGCGAGGAGGCGUUACUCGCAGAAGAAGCACCGGCUAACUCCGUGCCAGCAGCCGCGGUAAUUC